rnacentral:pre_miRNA from 1 species
AGGAGGAAUAACCACAGUGGCGGCAGCAGCUCUGGAUACCUGGUUUCAGCCCCCGCAGUAACUCGGCAGCUCUCUGCCUGCAGGGCCUGGAUGCUCCGUGGGCGG